rnacentral:tRNA from 1 species
GGCGCAGCUGGCGCAGGACAUGGCGGCGCGGCUUUUUGAAGAGGGGGUCUAUGUGUCGGGGUUCUUCUUCCCGGUGGUGCCGC